ensembl:lncRNA
AUGUCUCACACUCACCCACUGCUCCCUCUCCACAUAUCUUUGGGCAGCUACAAGAGGCAGGUUGCUGUGAGGGUAGGGGCAUUUCCCUCCAUGGUUCCCUGCUGGUUCUUUGUGGCCAUGCUGGCCCCUCUGGUGUUAGCCCUGGAACAGUCUCCAGACAUGGUGAUAAAAGAAGGCCAGUCCGUGAAUCUGGAAUGUUCCAAAAAGAAAUCCUCUAGUACAGCUAUGUACUGGUUCAUACUGCCUUCAGAGAAGAAUUCCAGUCUGACCCUCCUGGCUUCUGCAAUAGAACGUGGUAACCCAGCGGUGGAGAAGGGUUUUGAGAGCCAUUUCAAGAGCAGCAAGAUAAAAGGAGACAGUAUCACCCUCUCAAUAGAACAUGCCUUUCUCAAUGACUCUGGCACCUACUACUGUGCUGAGAGUGGUCACAGUGCUGUAUCUUCUGAGGGAGCUGAGCACAAACUUCUCCCUGCACAUACAGGACCUGCUUUCCCCCUUGUGGUUGCUGCAGAAGGCUUCUCACUCAUUAGCUGCUGUGCUUCCUAGCCUUGCCUUCAUCCUCUUCUCAGAUGCUGAUAGUCUGUAUGUCCAUUUUUUCUCCCUUGCCACUCCAGGCUUCCCUCUGCAUUUAAGUCUUACUUGCACUACACUUGAUUCUGUCAGCCCCUCUUCUCCUCUCUGUCUCACUUUCCUUCCCCACUCUCAUCUUUCUGUCUUCAAUCUGCCCUUCAAUGCCUUCAUCCCAACCUCUUUGGUUUUUUCUCCUACUUCUUUAGAGGAACCUGGGGUCUUCCCUGAAUCUUUCUAGGAAGCUUGGGGAAAUGAUUGCAAUGGGACACACUCAGAGCUGCAGCAGAGGUCUUGGGAGUGGCUGGAGGCAUUGCUGCUCUCCUCCGCUGACAGGACACAGGGAACAUCUUCACUGCAAAGCCCAGGACAGCCUUGAGCAGUCGCCUCACUUGAUGUCCUGUAUGGGCCAGCCUCAUUCUGCUGUGCACACAGCACAGCACGGAUGGGUAGAGCCUCUGUCACACCUCUGUACCCAAACUCAGUGCACACAAACUACGAGUGUCUCUUCCUGCCUUCAGAGGUGUCUCACUGCUUUGGUCAGGUGAACAAGGCUCUGUACAGAGCAGAGGACAUGGUUUUCUCCAGCUUUGUCCAUUUGUGUCCUGCUGCUCUUUUGCAGAGUGCUUCAAUAAAGAGGCAAGGAGAAUAUUGAUUCUUCUCUGGCAUGGAGAAGGUCAGUGUGUAGCAGCAUAUCCUGAGGGGCACAGUUCUCUCCUCAGAAAUCCUUCUGAGGUGCAGUCUCUCAAGGGGCAGUCCCAGUGCAGGGACUGCACUGCUGCAAAGGCAGCCUGUUGUCCCCUUGAGAUUCUCUGCCAGGCUCCAAGAGACUAAUGCUUGGCAGGUCAGUAGCUCUUCCCAUACCUGGGUAUCACGUCAGGCCUGACUGGAGUAAGUAGUGAUUCCACAUUGCAGCUUGCUGGGCUGGGAGUCUGUGAGUGUGAGGAUGGCUUGGCAGGAGACAAACAGAGGGACACAGACACAAACAUGCGUUCCUAAGAUCUCCUGCUCUUCCCAUCAAUUUCUGCCAUUUUGUGCAUGCCUGUGCACACACUCAGGCUGCCACACAGCCCCAUCCUGCUCCAUGAUAGCUCUGAACCAUGCUACCUACUGAAGUCCCAGCUACUCCUGCACAGCCACGUUCACACACAGCAGGGAGCCAGAGGAGCAGAGUACAAGCACCUCAUGACUGCCUGCAGGUGUCAUUGCCCACCGUUCCUGGACAGCCAACAGCCUUGUGACAUUUCAGACUCCCGCUCACUCCCCUGCCCACCCACAGAGAGACGGAUCUCUUCCUCUCCACCUCUCCUCUUUACACACCUCUGUGUCUGUGCUGUCACCAGGGGCAGGUGGCUGGCAGGAAGGGAUUUUCUCUAUGGAUUUCCAGUGGUUCCAUGUGGCCAUGCUGCUCCCUGUGGGUAAGUGGGCUUCCCUUCCUCUUGAGCAGCUGCACUGGAGCUGCUAUUGCUGCAUCCUCAGAUGUGCUCCAAGUUGCUGGCAGUGCCCCUUUACCAAGGGUUCCAGGGGGGAAGGUGGGCAGUGAACCAGGUGAGCCUUUCCACCACCUAUUGAAUCAGGAAACUCUGGAAGACUGAAAAUUUGUUUUUUCCUGCCCCUUUUUAAUACUUUACUUAAGAGUACCAACGCCAUUUCUUCUCAAAACAUAUUGACUGUUACAUUUGAAUCUGGUUUGUUUGGGGUUUUUUCAUACCAUGAAACUUUUUUCAGAGAAGCAGGUCACUGUCCCAUAGCUUUCUGAUAUGCUGGCGGCUAUACAUGGCAUACUUCAAGGAUGUGUAUUUUUGUCUUCUUCAAUGCAUUUCACUUCCCACCUUUCAUCUCCUGUCUUUCCAGGCUGGGCCCUUCAGCAAUCACCAGAUACAAUCGUCCGGGUGGGAGACACCGUGACUCUGGAAUGUUCUGCAUCAGGGAAAAACGUUAUAUAUAUGUACUGGUACAAGCUACCCAUGGAGAAGGAUGCCAGUAUGCAGUUGGUUGUAUAUUCCGUGGAAGGUGGCAAAGCAGAUAUUGAGAAGGAAUUCAAAAAUCGCUUCCAGAGCAGUGGGACUAGGAACAACCAUUUAUCUGUGAAGAUACAGCCUGCCCUCCUCAAUGACACAGGCACAUAUUACUGUGCUGAACAAGAUACACAGUGACUCAAAGGCAGGUGCAGCAUUGCACAAUGGUCUCCAGGCAAACAGGGAUCUGCCACCAGCACACCCUGAGCACUGUUUUUGACAGAACCCCAUUUUCUUACCUGACAUUUGGUCUUACAGGAAAAACAGGGCAUGACUGUCUGUCCAACUUUCCACCUGUGUGUCCAUCUAUCUGUCGUUCUGUCUUUAGCAUGGUGUAUAGCUGCUUUUCUGUUCUAUCCCAUCUCUGAAUCACCAUCUAAUUCUGCUCCCUUGUUGUCCCCACUGUCACACCUCAUUUUUCUGCCAUUCACAGACUGUUUCUCACUUUCCUGCUUAGCACUUGCAUAUACUUUUCCUCAUGAUUUCCAUGGAAAUUUCCCCUUCAGAGAAACACUGAAUAGGGUGACACCACAUGAGCCUCCUCCUUCGUAUUGUUAUCAGACAAAAAUUCCGCCAGGGAUCCUAGCCGAAUUCCACUUCUUUGUCCUUCCAUACAGUCAGGCAGAGCUCUAGGCACACAAAGGAGAAGGAUGAGGGAAAUAUACUCCCAGCACACCUCGCCAGACACCUUCCCUGUGUCCCUUUCACCCCUUGCCACUGUCCCAGAUGUUAUUUAUCCCAGUGAUCACUGGGUUCCCCAGAUAUCCCAUGCAGACUUUGUGGAGCAGAGGACACGUGGAUUUUCUUCAGAGCAGAAACACCUGAGGGCACAGUGGAGAAGCUGCAGUGGCCUGGG